GGCGGCAGGCCUAACACAUGCAAGUCGAACGGUAACAGGAAGCAGCUUGCUGUUUCGCUGACGAGUGGCGGACGGGUGAGUAAUGUCUGGGAAACUGCCUGAUGGAGGGGGAUAACUACUGGAAACGGUAGCUAAUACCGCAUAACGUCGCAAGACCAAAGAGGGGGACCUUCGGGCCUCUUGCCAUCGGAUGUGCCCAGAUGGGAUUAGCUAGUAGGUGGGGUAACGGCUCACCUAGGCGACGAUCCCUAGCUGGUCUGAGAGGAUGACCAGCCACACUGGAACUGAGACACGGUCCAGACUCCUACGGGAGGCAGCAGUGGGGAAUAUUGCACAAUGGGCGCAAGCCUGAUGCAGCCAUGCCGCGUGUAUGAAGAAGGCCUUCGGGUUGUAAAGUACUUUCAGCGGGGAGGAAGGGAGUAAAGUUAAUACCUUUGCUCAUUGACGUUACCCGCAGAAGAAGCACCGGCUAACUCCGUGCCAGCAGCCGCGGUAAUACGGAGGGUGCAAGCGUUAAUCGGAAUUACUGGGCGUAAAGCGCACGCAGGCGGUUUGUUAAGUCAGAUGUGAAAUCCCCGGGCUCAACCUGGGAACUGCAUCUGAUACUGGCAAGCUUGAGUCUCGUAGAGGGGGGUAGAAUUCCAGGUGUAGCGGUGAAAUGCGUAGAGAUCUGGAGGAAUACCGGUGGCGAAGGCGGCCCCCUGGACGAAGACUGACGCUCAGGUGCGAAAGCGUGGGGAGCAAACAGGAUU
rnacentral:rRNA from 2 species